AGAAUAAAAAUCCCAAAUGAACUUUUUAAAACCAGUCACCCCCACUACUCAAAUUCAUCCAUCAAGCCUCCGAGAAUCUUCUCUGCGAGAGCCCCACACGACAUGCGGUACAAAAGCAGGAAGUGCCUAAGGUUAAAGGACCACACUAUAAAUAACAUCCACUGGCCUCACACAUUCAUACUAGCCUAUCUCUUGUUCCCAAACAUUCUCUCAAGUAAAGGAGUGUGAAAUAAGAGCUGGUUCAACAUUUUUUCCUCUGGGCUCAUAUGACUGUCAGUGUAUAAACAAUGAAAAUGCACAUUUUCAUUGGAUACUAAUGGAUACUUUUUUCGUCGUGAAGAAGGGGCGUGUUAUCACAGGACUAGAGAUAGAAGUUUCGCUGUAUUGCCUCUGUUGGUUUGUAAGGUUUUGUUGUUUGGGGAGAAGGAAACAAAGGAAGGACAAAUGCCGCUUGGAGAAGGGACGCUUAUGAAAGGGGAAAGAGCUCCAAGCAGAAAGCCGUUAGAGACGCUGUUCAUUUCUCCUUAAAGCCUUGAGUGAGUGGUCACCUCUCCAGCUCCGGGACCUUAGCAGCUGCAGGACUGGAACCCAGGCAGCCUGACUGCAGAGACCUUGUUCUUCCUGUAACCUCUAUACCCUCCUGGGCUCUGAUGAGUCACCUUGGAAUCUAUAGGAGCAGCCCAGUGAGCCACACUACUCCAAAGCGACUUAGUGUAUCCAAGCCGCCGCUGAGACGGGAGAGGCAGGGAGUGCACGUUCCCAGGCUCAGGAGUGAGAUGACACCAGAUCUACAGCUCUAGCCCUGACCUUGCUGAUGGGCCCCUAACGGUCCACGGAUGUCCACCUGGCACUGGCUUAUCAACAAGACAGACGAGCAUGGAUGCAAAGCUGACUAGCAAGCACUUCCUAAGCGACCUUGAGCGUAUGAGUCAGGGGAGUCCAGAUGAGGAGCAGAUGUUCCAGAGGGAGUGCGAUGUGGCAGAGAAUUUGCCGGUGCUUCCUGCAGCACAGCGACUCCCUUGUCUCCUUACCAAGAAACUUGAUUUUGUUCACCUUCCGGGACAAGGGGCAGAGAUCCAGGUAGGAACCGCAGCACCACACCCACCAAGGCAGGCCACUCCCUUUGCCCAUGAUUGGUCCAUUCACGAACAUGUGACCCAGCCCUGGCCAAUGAGAUAUAAAAGGAAGUGCCUGGAGGCCUAUGGGAAAAAUUUUCAAAGUCCAAAUACAAGCAGGUCCUUUUUCCACCGCUUCCUGCCCUGGAUGCUGUGAUGUCGGGACAUGACGCUUGGGGCUGCCACAGCCCUCCGGUGACCGUGAAGGCCUAGACAGCUGCAGAGGUGAAGGGCAACCCAGAGACUUGGUCUCAUUAAGUUGCUGCAAUAACCUAGUAUAGCCUCUGUCUAGACUUUAUUAUGUGAGCUGCUAAAAUAUCUUUCCUGCCACAGCUACUGCUGGUCAUGUAUUCAAUUGCUUGUGUCCUCAAGCAUCCAAAGAGAUCCAUCUCAGGAGGCUUCAGUUCUUGCCUUCUCCUCACAGUGUGUGCACUUCCGUGGGCCAAGUGCGAUUCCAGUGUGUAAAGACAGGUACUUGCUACAUAACAUGGUGUCUAAAGUCAAGGCAGCUGCUUCACCUGGGUUGCAGCUGGAGAGAGACUGAAUCUGAGUUGGAAGACCUCCCACUCUGUGGGUCCUGGGAAGGAUGGUAUGUUGAACUCCAAUGUGGGGCUCUCCUGGGAAUCUUCCAGGAACUGUUAUGAACAAACAUGAUUUUUGGUUGACACUGUGACUUCAGAACCUAACCUCAGGGGCAGCUGCCUCCUGAGCCUCUUAACAGACCCCCCUCAGCUGCAUUCGCUGUCCCCACAGGCACCGACUGCAGGGACCUUUGUGAGGGUAGCUUUGUAUCUCAGGGGACUUUCACACCCUCAGUGGCUCCUUGCUCCUCUCCAUAGAUGGGGACCGCUGUGCCUUGCCUGCUUCAGUGCUGGCUGCUUGCCUACCUGUGCCUGUGGUCCAGCACGGCCUGGUGACGUGAAGAAGCCUGAACACACCCACGCUGCCAUCUUUAAGUUUUGUUCCUGCUGGUCUCUACCUAGAGUGCCCCCUCUACCCAUUCCUACCUAUUAAACUUUGUUUCCCCAGCACUCAGCACACGUUAGGCCAACCAAAGAAGGUCUCCUUAACUCAGUAAUGACGAAAACAAGUAACUCCAUUAAAAAACAGGCAAAGGACUUGAAUAGACAUUUGUCCAAAGAAGAUAUACAAGCGACCAAUAAGCACAUGAAAAGAUGCUCAACAUCACUAAUCACUAGGGAAAUGCAAAUUAAAACUACCAUGAGA